rnacentral:rRNA from 1 species
GGGUGAGUAACACGUGAGUAACCUGCCCUUCUCAUCGGAAUAAGCGUUGGAAACGACGUCUAAUGCCGAAUAUGACUUCGGAAGGCAUCUUCUGAAGUGGAAAGCUCCGGCGGAGAAGGAUGGACUCGCGGCCUAUCAGGUAGUUGGUGAGGUAACGGCUCACCAAGCCGACGACGGGUAGCCGGCCUAAGAGGGUGGUCGGCCGCACUGGGACUGAGAUACUGCCCAGACUCCUACGGGAGGCUGCAGUCGAGAAUCUUCCGCAAUGGGCGAAAGCCUGACGGAGCGACGCCGCGUGGAGGACGAAGGCCUUCGGGUUGUAAACUCCUGUCACGGAUUAAGAACGGCUCGGCGUGAACAACGCCGAGAUUGACGUAAGUCCGAGAGGAAGCACUGGCUAACUCUGUGCCAGCAGCCGCGGUAAUACAGAGAGUGCAAACGUUGUUCGGAAUUACUGGGCUUAAAGCGCACGUAGGCGGCUCCGCAAGUGUCGGGUGAAAUCCCACGGCUUACCCGUGGAACUGCCCG